rnacentral:rRNA from 1 species
UACGUAGGAGGCGAGCGUUGUCCGGAAUCACUGGGCGUAAAGCGCGUGUAGGCGGGAAGGCAAGUCUGCUGCGAAAGCGCCUGGCUUAACCGGGCGAGGUCGGCGGAAACUGCUUACCUGGAGGACGGUAGAGGGGGGUGGAAUUCCCGGUGUAGUGGUGAAAUGCGUAGAUAUCGGGAGGAACACCAGUGGCGAAGGCGGCUUCCUGGCCUGUUCUUGACGCUGAGGCGCGAAAGCUAGGGGAGCAAACGGG